rnacentral:rRNA from 1 species
CGGUACGUACUGGCAUUGUUGGUUUCUCCCUUCUGACGAACCAUGAUGUCAUUUAUUUGGUGUUGUGGGGAAUCAGGACUGUUACUUUGAAAAAAUUAGAGUGUUUAAAGCAGGCUCACGCUUGAAUACAUUAGCAUGGAAUAAUGAAAUAGGACGUUUGAUUCUAUUUUGUUGGUUUCUAGGAUCGACGUAAUGAUUAAUAGGGAUAGUUGGGGGCAUUAGUAUUCAAUUGUCAGAGGUGAAAUUCUUGGAUUUAUUGAAGACUAACUACUGCGAAAGCAUUUGCCAAGGAUGUUUUCAUUAAUCAAGAACGAAAGUUAGGUGAUCGAAGACGAUCAGAUACCGUCGUAGUCUUAACCAUAAACUAUGCCGACUAGGGAUCGGAUGAUGUUAAUUUUUUAAUGACUCAUUCGGCGCCUUACG